GGUUGUGGCUCAGGGGUAGAGCACUUGCCUAGCACAUGUGAGGCCCUGGAUUCGAUCCUCAGCACCA
rnacentral:tRNA from 1 species